UACAGAGGGGGCAAGUGUUGUUCGGAAUUACUGGGCGUAAAGGGCGCGUAGGCGGCCUGUUAAGUCGGACGUGAAAUCCCCGGGCUCAACCCGGGAACUGCGUCCGAUACUGGCAGGCUUGAAUCCGGGAGAGGGAUGUGGAAUUCCAGGUGUAGCGGUGAAAUGCGUAGAUAUCUGGAGGAACACCGGUGGCGAAGGCGGCAUCCUGGACCGGCAUUGACGCUGAGGCGCGAAAGCCAGGGGAGCAAACGGG
rnacentral:rRNA from 1 species